rnacentral:lncRNA from 1 species
CAGGCUUCUUUAACUAAAAGGGAAGGGGUGUUUGCCUGGCUGUUGUGAACUUCUUGCUGCUGAAAUCCUUUGUUCCUCAACUGUCCUCCUAGGUAUGGUCACAAUGUUCCUACAAACCUUCAACAAGGCAAAUGUUAUUCUCUGUUCUGCAACUUCUUAUCUCUGUAUGAGGGGGAAAGUGUUAUACCUUAAAAGAUCGGAGCGUUGAGAUGGCUAUCCAGUAUCUCUUGGCUAUAGGCAACAUUCUUUUAGUGAUUAACUUGUAGGCAAAAGCAAUAGGAUACCAAUGUUAAAGGAAAAGAAACAGAUCCAAUAUGGAGUCAGAUUUGUUCUCUAUUACAGUGGGGGUACUCUUAGCCCCUUUGCCUUUGAGAUCUCCCCUAUCCCUGGGUGCCUCGGGCAACUGUUUAUGAGAACCAAGUGAGGUUGUUGGUGAACUCAUUUCUGAUUGUUUAUAUGAAAACAAAUACAAAGGGAAUUUGUGUUCUGGUCCUCUUGCACCCCCUUCUCUGGGGCAUCACCGUCCUAGACUCCGAAGUCAUUGUGGUUCCUGCCAUUUUUCUACCUUGACGUCUGAUGGCAGAAUGAAUGAGACCCUUUAGUGUCCUGGACUUUGUUUUCUAUAACUUGCCUUCCUCUACUAGCCACAUCAACAUGUUACAAAUUGCUUUUACAUAUUUCUUUCAUUUGAACUCUCUUCCCAACCCAGGGAUCGAACCCAGGUCUCCUGCAUUGCAGGUGGAUUCUUUACCGUCUGAGCCACCAAGGAAGCCCUUUCAUUUGAACUCAGUACCUCUGGAAAGCAGGAUUUGCACUGUUUCCACAAACUCAGUGCCAUGGAAAUAAUGAAUGAGACGAGAGAUCUUUGCUCUCUGUAGACAUUCUGGUUCCUAAGUGAUGCCAGCCAAAGGUCAAAACCGAGGUAAAUUCAAGUUUGCUUUGGCAAAACCUACCUUCUCAUUCAGAUAGCUGAGUAGGUGAUU